AUGGGGUCUCUAUGGGGAUCCCUAUGGGGUCCCUAUGGGAUCCCUAUGGGGUCUCUAUGGGGUAUCCAUGGGGUCCCAAUGGGGUCCAUAUGGGAUCCCUAUGGGGUCUGUAUGGGGCGCAGUGGGGCAGCGCUGUUCUCUCCCCGCAGUGCCCCAAUGAGGAUCGCAUCGCAGAGCGGCGUUUUGGGGUGUUGCAUCGCCGCCCGCAGUGCCAAUAAAUGCAGUGUGUCCGUC